AGAAUCCCGUGUAUACCAACCGCAGGGAUGUUAUUUAAUACGUUUUCUAAGAGUCGAGUUGUUUGGGAAUGCAGCUCUAAAUGGGUGGUAAAUUUCACCUAAUGCUAAAUAUAAGCGAGAGACCGAUAGCGAACAAGUACCGUGAGGGAAAGAUGAAAAGAACUUUGAAAAGAGAGUUAAAUAGUACGUGAAAUUGUUGAAAGGGAAACGAUUGAAGUCAGUCAUGCCGGCGGGAAUCAACUUAGGGGAAACUUUAAGUGCACUUCACGUUUGGCAGGUCAGCGUCGAUUUUGGAUAUCAUAAAAUGAUUGGGGGAAGGUAGCUCCUUCGGGAGUGUUAUAGCCCUUGAUAGAUGUGAUGUCUGGGAUCGAGGAUUGCAACGGAUACCCUUCUGGGCUAGCCGCCUGAUCUCUAACUGGUGUUGGGUUACGGACAGCAUGCUGACCGUGAUUUAAUUACUGGUUAAAAGGCAAGGAAGUGGAGUGUAAAU
rnacentral:rRNA from 1 species